AACAAAGUUACAACAAACACAUCAUUUUGACAAAAGGCAACAUAAAACUGUAUAUCUAGAUGCACACCAUCAAUAGGAGGAAAAGCUCGGCCAAACACAUAGCAAAAGUGUAAGCGCUAAAAUAUUAUAUUUUAUGUUAUUCGCUUUACACAUUAUCAGCAACUAGAGGUCAAUACUUUUUCCAAGGAAAUACCCAGAAAAUGCAAUAAAAUCAGAGCCGCUCAAUAUGAAGUAAGCUUCAGAGGUAUCAUCAACGCUGAUAAGGGAAUACUGCAAGUCUAUCGCUUACCAUUUCGUUUGGAAUCUUCUCAUUCAAAGUCAAUAAAAUUGCAUGUUUUUCACAGCAUCCCAGUCAAAAGACUUUCAACUCGAGAUGGGUUUAGUCGCGUAUGGAAUUUUGAUUUUAACUCUUUCGCUUGCCUCGGCAAAAAAGCUCGAUGAGUGCAUUGUACCUAUUGCAUCCAUACACUACAACCGCAUACAAUGGCCACUGAUCUACAAAUCCAAUGGCGAGUUAUAUCCCACACAAGUGGAUGGAGCACAACAACACGCUAGUGUUCAUUUGCCCGCCGGAGCUGAGGCCAUACUUUCAUGUGGACCUAAUUAUCUAAAGAA